AGGCCUUAUGGUUGUAAAGCACAUUAUCCGAAGAGGAUGCUUAAUAUUAAUACCUGAGAUAAAUGGACAUUACUCGCCAGAAUAAUCACCGACUAACUCUGUGCCAGCAGCCGCGGUAAUACAGAGGGUGCAAGCGUUAAUCGGAUUUACUGGGCGUAAAGCGCGCGUAGGCGGCCAAUUAAGUCAAAUGUGAAAUCCCCGAGCUUAACUUGGGAAUUGCAUUCGAUACUGGUUGGCUAGAGUGUGGGAGAGGAUGGUAGAAUUCCAGGUGUAGCGGUGAAAUGCGUAGAGAUCUGGAGGAAUACCGAUGGCGAAGGCAGCCAUCUGGCCUAACACUGACGCUGAGGUGCGAAAGCAUGGGGAGCAAACAGGAUUAGAUACCCUGGUAGUCCAUGCCGUAAACGAUGUCUACUAGCCGUUGGGGCCUUUGAGGCUUUAGUGGCGCAGCUAACGCGAUAAGUAGACCGCCUGGGGAGUACGGUCGCAAGACUAAAACUCAAAUGAAUUGACGGGGGCCCGCACAAGCGGUGGAGCAUGUGGUUUAAUUCGAUGCAACGCGAAGAACCUUACUGGCCUUGACAUA
rnacentral:rRNA from 1 species